rnacentral:rRNA from 1 species
CGAACGGGUGAGUAACACGUGGGUAACCUGCCCCGAUGAUUGGGACAACCCGAGGAAACUCGGGCUAAUACCGAAUGUGCCCUGCGACCUCAAGGUCGUUGGGGAAAGGAAGCUUCGGCCUCCGCAUCGGGAUGGGCCCGCGGCCCAUUAGCUUGUUGGUGAGGUAACGGCUCACCAAGGCGACGAUGGGUAGCUGGUCUGAGAGGACGAUCAGCCACACUGGGACUGAGACACGGCCCAG